rnacentral:rRNA from 1 species
AACGAACGCUGGCGGCAGGCUUAACACAUGCAAGUCGAGCGCCCCGCAAGGGGAGCGGCAGACGGGUGAGUAACGCGUGGGAAUCUACCCAUCUCUACGGAAUAACGCAUGGAAACGUGUGCUAAUACCGUAUACGUCCUUCGGGAGAAAGAUUUAUCGGAGAUGGAUGAGCCCGCGUUGGAUUAGCUAGUUGGUGGGGUAAAGGCCUACCAAGGCGACGAUCCAUAGCUGUUCUGAGAGGAUGAGCAGCCACACUGGGACUGAGACACGGCCCAGACUCCUACGGGAGGCAGCGGUGGGGAAUAUUGGACAAUGGGCGCAAGCCUGAUCCAGCCAUGCCGCGUGAGUGAUGAAGGCCCUAGGGUUGUAAAGCUCUUUCACCGGUGAAGAUAAUGACGGUAACCGGAGAAGAAGCCCCGGCUAACUUCGUGCCAGCCGCCGCCGUAACAC